GUCGUCAGGACAAUCGCGGCUGUCCAAACAGGACAGAUGAGGAAAGUCCGGGCUCCACAGGGCAGUGUGCUGGAUAACGUCCAGCGAGGGCAACCUUAGGGAAAGUGCCAUAGAGAUUGAGACCGCCUGCCUAUGCAAACAGGUCAGGUAAGGGUGGAAAGGUGCGGUAAGAGCGCACCAGCAGUCAGGUGACUGGCUGGCUGGGUAAACCCCACACGGAGCAAGACCAAAUAGGGAAGGUAUGAUGCGGCCCGCGGACCUUCCGGGUUGCGUCGCUUGAGCCGGCAGGUAACUGCCGUGCCUAGAUAAAUGAUUGUCACCGCCUGCGGGCGGCACAGAACUCGGCUUAUUGAUUGC
rnacentral:RNase_P_RNA from 1 species